UACGUAGGGUGCAAGCGUUGUCCGGAAUUAUUGGGCGUAAAGAGCUCGUAGGCGGUUUGGCGCGUCUGCUGUGAAAACUCGGGGCUUAACUCCGGGCCUGCAGUGGGUACGGGCAGACUAGAGUGCGGUAGGGGAGACUGGAAUUCCUGGUGUAGCGGUGAAAUGCGCAGAUAUCGGGAGGAACACCAGUAGCGAAGGCGGCACUCUGGGCCGUGACUGACGCUGAGGAGCGAAAGCGUGGGUAGCAAACAGG
rnacentral:rRNA from 1 species